AUGGCUCCCUUCGUUUCCUCCCUCCUCCUGGCCGAGGAACCAGCUUCCUUGCGCUCGUGCCCAAGGCCUCGUCUCUUCCUCCUCUGCUCGACGCCUACCGUCCCCGCCAUGGACUUGGAGCUUGCCUCCUCGCGCCCAUGCCCGCCUGAUUCCGCAGCAACCUCGCCGGAGACCAGCGCCUCCUCUGCUCUGUCCCGCGCACACGAGCCCAACGGGAGAGGAGCUCCUCACCAGCGUGCUCCUCACCCACGCCCGCGCCCGCAACCAGGCACCCGAGGCCGAGCCUCCUGCCUCGUCCGUGCGUCCGCGCUGGCGACCACCAGGACCGCGUCGCCCUCUCCUUCACUUUCUUCCUUCCUUGCCUCUCUCUCGCAGCAUGCUCCCUCUCAUCUCUCCCGUGUCUCUGCAAGAAAACGCCAUGGCCGCCCCGAGCUCCGUCCGCGCCGUCAUUGCCCGGAUCCGGCGCCGGCCAGCCGGAUCCGCCCCGUCUCCACUUCGCCGACCUUCCCUGUAGCCGCUGCCGCUCGAGACCGCUGUGCGCCGAGCCCCCACUGCUGUUGCGCCGUUGACCCCGUCCUCGCCGCACCCCUACUUCCUUGCAUCGGUCACGUUGACCGUAGCCUCGAUCCGAGCCAGCCUCCUCGUGCCCGUGUGGGCCUCAUCCCGCAGCCGGCACAGCGCAACUCCCAGCCGGCCUCCCACUGCUUCCAAACCGGGUCGAAGCCCACUGGUUCCGGCAACGUUGUGAUUGUGAGGAUUCGUUCGACUGCUCCCGUUCGUCUUCUUCAUGGACACGUUCUUCUUCCUAGCGGGAUUUCAGGUACAGGUUAUGCGAUGAUCAUGACGCGAGAGCGGUGCUUGCUUGCGUUGAGUUCUUCUUCUGCUUCUUCUUCGAUCAGGGGAUAG
rnacentral:rRNA from 1 species